AAAUUGAAGAGUUUGAUCAUGGCUCAGAUUGAACGCUGGCGGCAGGCCUAACACAUGCAAGUCGAACGGUAACAGGAAGAAGCUUGCUUCUUUGCUGACGAGUGGCGGACGGGUGAGUAAUGUCUGGGAAACUGCCUGAUGGAGGGGGAUAACUGCUGGAAACGGUAGCUAAUACCGCAUAACGUCGCAAGACCAAAGAGGGGGAGCUUCGGGCCUCUUGCCAUCGGAUGUGCCCAGAUGGGAUUAGCUAGUAGGUGGGGUAACGGCUCACCUAGGCGACGAUCCCUAGCUGGUCUGAGAGGAUGACCAGCCACACUGGAACUGAGACACGGUCCAGACUCCUACGGGAGGCAGCAGUGGGGAAUAUUGCACAAUGGGCGCAAGCCUGAUGCAGCCAUGCCGCGUGUAUGAAGAAGGCCUUCGGGUUGUAAAGUACUUUCAGCGGGGAGGAAGGGAGUAAAGUUAAUACCUUUGCUCAUUGACGUUACCC
rnacentral:rRNA from 1 species